rnacentral:rRNA from 1 species
CACAUGCAAGUCGAACGAGAGAGAGGGAGCUUGCUUCCUUGAUCGAGUGGCGAACGGGUGAGUAACGCGUGAGGAACCUGCCUCAAAGAGGGGGACAACAGUUGGAAACGACUGCUAAUACCGCAUAAGCCCACGACCCGGCAUCGGGAAGAGGGAAAAGGAGCAAUCCGCUUUGAGAUGGCCUCGCGUCCGAUUAGCUAGUUGGUGAGGUAACGGCCCACCAAGGCGACGAUCGGUAGCCGGACUGAGAGGUUGAACGGCCACAUUGGGACUGAGACACGGCCCAGACUCCUACGGGAGGCAGCAGUGGGGAAUAUUGCACAAUGGGGGAAACCCUGAUGCAGCGACGCCGCGUGGAGGAAGAAGGUCUUCGGAUUGUAAACUCCUGUUGUUGAGGAAGAUAAUGACGGUACUCAACAAGGAAGUGACGGCUAACUACGUGCCAGCAGCCGCGGUAAAACGUAGGUCACAAGCGUUGUCCGGAAUUACUGGGUGUAAAGGGAGCGCAGGCGGGCGAUCAAGUUGGAAGUGAAAUCCAUGGGCUCAACCCAUGAACUGCUUUCAAAACUGGUCGUCUUGAGUAGUGCAGAGGUAGGCGGAAUUCCCGGUGUAGCGGUGGAAUGCGUAGAUAUCGGGAGGAACACCAGUGGCGAAGGCGGCC